UUACAGCCUUCAGGACAGGCUGGGACAUUCUGUUCUUCUUCUUUGAGCUGGUGGGACUGUCAAAAUCAAAGCCGCUGACCACUGCCCUUCUGUAAGACGUGGACCUCAAGCCUCGCCGAAGGGAGCCGGGACUGUCCAUGUCGUUGUCGACUUCGCUUUCCUCCCCUUCGUGGCCCAAGGGUGCUCCCAGUCCCUCCACCAUGCUGCGCACCUUGAGAAGCCUCCUAUGGGACUCCACGUUCUGACUAUUGGAUUUACUUAGUUUAAUUUCAGAGGCAAGGCUUUUUGGGAUAAUCUGCUGCUUUCCCAUCUUGAGGGCCGCCGGGCUGUUGGUACUCAAAACCACGGAAGGGUUCGGGAGUUCAUUCCCUUGGGAGGGCAGCCUUUGGAGUGGCAGUUUUUGUUCUGAAGACUUGUGUGGGAGAGCAGGAGAGAGUCUCGAGGGGGCCAGCUCCAAGUCCCCAGUUGGCUGACCAGUUUGUGAUACUGGGCCAGAUGAGUCGGUUUUAUGGGCAAGGCCAUUGGCAAUGGGCGAAGAUACCUUACUGACAGUCACCCCGGUGCUGUCCUCAUCGGUGGCGCAAGAGGCCGGGUUGUCCGGGGUCCGGGAGGCGCGCGACAACAGCGCCGCGGGCGAGGCCACGGUGCCAUUAGCAGUGGACUUCGGGGAGCCGCCCGACGCCGCGUAAGAAACCAGGGGUGACUUGGGCCGUCGGAGUCGAGGAGAAGCAGCUCUGUAGUCCGGGGACACCGUGCGACCAUUGGUCACCGGCCUCCGAUGCGCGCACAGAAGCUGGGGGCUCCUGGACAACGUCCUGCCGUCCGGGUCGGCGGGUACGCGGACCGGAGUCUGCGGCGUGGGCAGAGCAGCCAGCUCCUCCACAGGGAAGUCGGUGAUCAGCAGCCCGCUGGGGCUCUGGUACGACUGUGGCCGCGGCUUGCUCCGGCCGAGCAACUGGAGCGGAGGGGUGGACCGUCUCCGCCACAAAGGGGUGACGCCGUUGCUGGAAAAAUCCACCUCGCUUUCGCCGUCCAUAGCGGGGCCUUUGAGCCAGCCCCGAGAGGAGGAAAGCUGCUCAGGUUGCCUAAGAGAAAGGAACUUUGCCUCCGGACAACUAGUCUUGUCUGGGAGCCUAACCGGGUUCCAGCCCGGCGGUCACACGGGUGUCGCGCGGGACUCGGCAGCGCCGCUCUUACCCGCCCUUUCUCGGGCACAGCGCCUCCCGCCAAGCUUCGCGACCGAGGACUGAGAUCCAAGCCGCAGCUGAUCAGAUGAAUCCCGUCUCCGCUGCGUCCUUCCCGCGCCCCAAGCCCGCCGGCACCUAGAGAGCUCGCCGCCACCGCAGGACCCUUGGAAAGAGUUCAGCUGGCUGGGACAGCUCGCCGUGGGACGCUCCCCCGCGUCUCCAUCUAGCCGCCUGCCCCGCGCCAGUCCACCCGGUCCCCGGUAUGCGGUCUCCAGCGCGCUCACCCUUCCGGGGCACAGACCAAGGAGUACUCCCUGUCCCCGUGGGUGGCCUGGGUCCUCACUAAAGCGCGGAGACAACCGCUCAGCCCUGGGCAGCAGAGGCCCGCGGCGCCGGCCCCGCCCCCCGCGCUACGCCCCGCCCCAGCACGCCGGGGAAGCUCACUCCGAGGCGCCCAGGAGUUCCCGCCCCUGCCUUCCCGGAGUGCGCUCAGUGAUUGUAAACGGGACGCGCACACCUGAGCUGGGUGUCCAGACCCUGAGUACAAGAAUGCAGGAGCGCGGGCGGCUGCCCUACGGGCUAGCUGGAGGGCGCGGUCGCAGAUCCGAACACAGCGUGGGAAUGGUCGUGAGAGCAGAGAAAGGGGUUCUUGAUCAUCCCUAGACCUGGAGGGGAAGGUUGGAAGGGUGAACCACGUCGGAGCUUGGUGCUUCUGCGCCACUUCACUGGGCCACUUGUGGGCGUCAAACUGAACCUCACUCCGGGCUCUCACUCAUCUACUUGCAAUAAUGUGUGGACUACAGACAGAUUUGCACUCAGAGGAGACUGUCAGGCCAGGUGGACUGUGACUCUACACGUCCUAGUGUCCUAAUCUUUGUGCCCUGUAUGUUUGAAAGUCACACAGUAAAAGUAAACAAAAUACAAAAUAUUUAUUAGUGUGUAGUUGUGUACAAUAUAAAUAGAAAAUCUGUAUGUAGAAUAAAAUAUCGAACAAGGAGUAAAUUCCAAAUCCCUAUUAGAGAUUAAGAGGCUGGGCCUAUCCUUACAAUAUAGUCUUUUCUCACUAACUUUAUCUAGUCAAGCCAAGUCCACAGCCUUAGAGCCUUCAAGUUUAUUUCUUGGCCUUCUGGCUUGUCACUUCAUUGGAAUUACCCCCGAUUUCCCCAACCACCUGAUCUCUUUCUUUUUCACAGUAAUCGAAAUUUGUAAAUCUGAAUGCUUACUUAUAUGUCUGUGUAUUAGGGCUUAAUCUAUUCUGCCUUUGCAUUGUAGUUUUGAAGAGGGCAGGGGUUAUAUUUGUGGCUCAUGCACACAGUAAGUGAUAAAUAUCUGUGGAGUAUGGGAGUAGAUGAAUAAGAGAAAUGAACCUGGGCCCGUGAUCAUUCGUCUUUUAGAUGUUGGUUGCCAAGUUGGCUCUGUCUUGGUGAAAUUCCAGGUGUGUACUAAUACUGAGGCGACCUGAGAAGACAUGAUAUUGGUUGAUGAGAUCUGUAGAAUUGGCUGUUAGCAAGACACAGGGCAGGCUCCAAGCUUUCAAAGUUCAUGUGAGUACCCACUUUUUAAAUCCGUGCUUCUUUCUGCUUUGGGUGGCAAAAGGAAGGGUGGCAUUUAUGGUGUUUCUUUAUGCUUUUUCUAUACUUCCCAAAGCGACACAGUGAAGGUCUUUGAUCUCAGAACCUUUUUUGAACUUGAAGAAAUGGAAUCAAAAUGUUUAUCAAAAUAAUUUUUAAAGAAGAUUUACUAAUAAUUUCAUACAGAAAGAAGCAGAUUCUAUGUUUAUCUAUGGAGCCUUGCUGUAGGGGAUUUUCAUACCAAUAAUAUUAGUUUUAUAUAAUAAAUUUAACUUC
rnacentral:lncRNA from 1 species